GAUGAAGAACGUAGCGAAAUGCGAUACUUGGUGUGAAUUGCAGAAUCCCGUGAACCAUCGAGUCUUUGAACGCAAGUUGCGCCCGAAGCCAUUAUGCCGAGGGCACGCCUGCCUGGGCGUCACACGUCGUUGCCCCCCCAUCUACUCCUUCGGGAUUGCGGGGGGCGGAUGAUGGCCUCCCGUGCGCCUCGCCGCGCGGUUGGCAUAAAUGCCAAGUCCUCGGCGACGCACGCCACGACAAUCGGUGGUUGCGAAACCUCGGUUGCCCGUCGUGUGCGGUCGUCGCGCAUCGAGGGCUCGAAAAAAUUGCCGGGUUCCGGCUCGGCUUUCAACGCGACCCCAGGUCAGGCGGGGUUACCCGCUGAAUUUAAGCAUAUCAAUAACGGAGGA
rnacentral:misc_RNA from 1 species